rnacentral:rRNA from 1 species
UACGUAGGGUGCGAGCGUUGUCCGGAAUUAUUGGGCGUAAAGAGCUCGUAGGCGGUCUGUCGCGUCGAUCGUGAAAACUUGGGGCUUAACCCUGAGCUUGCGGUCGAUACGGGCAUGACUGGAGUUCGGCAGGGGAGACUGGAAUUCCUGGUGUAGCGGUGAAAUGCGCAGAUAUCAGGAGGAACACCGGUGGCGAAGGCGGAUCUCUGGGCCUUACCUGACGCUCAGGUGCGAAAGCUAGGGGAGCGAACAGG